UACGUAGGGUGCGAGCGUUGUCCGGAAUUAUUGGGCGUAAAGGGCUCGUAGGCGGUCUGUCACGUCGGGAGUGAAAACUCAGGGCUUAACCCUGAGCCUGCUUCCGAUACGGGCAGACUAGAGGUAUGCAGGGGAGAACGGAAUUCCUGGUGUAGCGGUGAAAUGCGCAGAUAUCAGGAGGAACACCGAUGGCGAAGGCAGCUUACUGGGCCGAUACUGACGCUGAGGAGCGAAAGCGUGGGGAGCAAACAGG
rnacentral:rRNA from 1 species